rnacentral:rRNA from 1 species
GAUCAUGGCUCAGGUUGAACGCUGGCGGCGUGCUUAACACAUGCAAGUCGAACGGACUUUAUAUGAAGCCUAGCGAUUAUAAAGUUAGUGGCGGACGGGUGAGUAACGCGUGAAUAACCUGCCCUGUACCGGGGGACAACAGUUGGAAACGGCUGCUAAUACCGCAUAAGCGCACGGUUCCGCAUGGAACAGUGUGAAAAACUCCGGUGGUACAGGAUGGAUUCGCGUCUGAUUAGCCAGUUGGCGGGGG